rnacentral:rRNA from 1 species
GAUGAACGCUAGCGGCAGGCCUAACACAUGCAAGUCGAGGGGUAGAGGUUGCUUGCAACCUUGAGACCGGCGCACGGGUGCGUAACGCGUAUGCAACCUACCUUUUACAGAGGGAUAGCCCAGAGAAAUUUGGAUUAAUACCUCAUAGUAUAUAACCUUCGCAUGUUGGUUAUAUUAAAGUUCCAACGGUAAAAGAUGGGCAUGCGUCCUAUUAGCUAGAUGGUAAGGUAACGGCUUACCAUGGCAACGAUAGGUAGGGGUCCUGAGAGGGAGAUCCCCCACACUGGUACUGAGACACGGACCAGACUCCUACGGGAGGCAGCAGUGAGGAAUAUUGGACAAUGGGCGCAAGCCUGAUCCAGCCAUGCCGCGUGCAGGAAGAAGCAUCUAUGGUGUGUAAACUGCUUUUGUACAGGAAGAAACACCCCGACGUGUCGGGGCUUGACGGUGCUGUAAGAAUAAGGAUCGGCUAACUCCGUGCCAGCAGCCGCCGUAA